rnacentral:misc_RNA from 1 species
UUUCCGUAGGUGAACCUGCGGAAGGAUCAUUAAUGUAUAACUGGGGUGUGAGGGCUGGCGUUGAUACGAAAGGUAGAGCAAGCUUGAGUGCACUUACACAUAUCCAUCUCACCCCGAAGAGCACCACAGCGGGGGGCCCUCUUUGGCUUGUUCGGAGGGGGGAUUACGUUUUCAAAAAAACUAUGAAUGCAGAGUAGAAGGUAUUUGUUGUUAUUGCGAAAAAGAAAACAAUAAAAAUUUCAACAACGGAAAUCUUGGCUCUCGCAGAGAUGAAGAAAG